GAGCAUUAAAAGGGGUUUUCGUUCCAUGUCAUCAUUUCUCUUCUGGCAGUGGAGACGUUUUCCCUGAUAACUGUGGUUCUUGCAGCUGUUUAGUCCAGUCUUUAAAGCAUGGGUGUCAAACAUUCGGCCCAUGGG